rnacentral:lncRNA from 1 species
CUUAGUUCUGUUUAGGAAAAAAUAAACAAACAAAACAAAACAAAAAAACCACUCAGCCAUAGAGUGUGGAAGAAAGGGUAUGAAGAAAUUAGACUUAAGUCUGUGCUUUUGGUAAUGAAGGCAAUUAAUAGUAAUCCAGAUGAAAUACAUUGAGGACCUGAAUUGGAAUGGUGACUGUGAAUCUGUGAGGAAGGCUAUGAAAGAUGGUAUUAAGAGAUUAUUAGGAGUUAGACUUGUGAGGACUGCUCAGAUGGAAAGGUAGGAGUUGAAUGCUGUUGAGGAAAAUGGAAAUUUAGGAUUACUGUCAAGCUUUUUGAUUAUGUACCUGGAUAAUGUCAUUCAGAGAGAAAGAGUUUAUUUUAGAAGUAUAUUAUUAACCAGAUAGAGAUCCAUGAGCAGAUAGGGGAAAAGUUGAAUUUCAAACAAAAAUAUGCUUUUCUUUGAGAAAAUAUUGGGUGAUCCUGGAGUCUGAAAGAUUGAAAAUUAGGGUAAGUCUGGCAUGCUGAAGCAGGCUAAGGAUAGUGAGUUUCAUAGGAGAGUAUCAAUUAGGGGAUUUCUAUAGAAAAUAGGAGGGUCAGAGCCAGACAUUUAUUUAUUUAUUUAUUUAUUUAAGUAUUUUUUUAGUUGUUGAUGAACAUUUAUUUUAUUCAUUUAAUCAUAUGUGGUACUGAUAAUUGAACCUAGUGCCUCACACAUGUGAGGCAAGCGCCCUACCAUUGAGCCACAACCUCAGCCCUUUGAUAUUUAUUUUUGAAGUUAUUGUUUACCAUAUUUUAUUUAAUGGCAGAUUUCUGCCAUUUUGCUAUCCCAAACUAAACUGGCUAAUUCAAAUGUUUUAACCUUAGGAUGAGUCUGGGAGUCCUGGGUAAGUAGCUGCUUUAAGAUAUUUUCUAUGUGAGGAGCUAGGAUGGUAAAGAUGAUAAUAUCAAAUUCCAGAUCUAUG